rnacentral:rRNA from 1 species
UACGAAGGACCCGAGCGUUAUCCGGAUUUAUUGGGUUUAAAGGGUGCGUAGGCGGAUUUAUAAGUCAGUGGUGAAAGCCUAUAGCUUAACUAUAGAAUUGCCAUUGAUACUGUAAGUCUUGAGUACAGUUGAGGUGGGCGGAAUGUGCAGUGUAGCGGUGAAAUGCUUAGAUAUUGCACAGAACACCAAUUGCGAAGGCAGCUCGCUAAGCAACUAUUGACGCUGAGGCACGAAAGCGUGGGGAUCAAACAGG